AUGAACGCUGGCGGCGUGCCUAAUACAUGCAAGUCGAGCGAACGGACGAGAAGCUUGCUUCUCUGAUGUUAGCGGCGGACGGGUGAGUAACACGUGGAUAACCUACCUAUAAGACUGGGAUAACUUCGGGAAACCGGAGCUAAUACCGGAUAAUAUUUUGAACCGCAUGGUUCAAAAGUAAAAGACGGUCUUGCUGUCACUUAUAGAUGGAUCCGCGCUGCAUUAGCUAGUUGGUAAGGUAACGGCUUACCAAGGCAACGAUGCAUAGCCGACCUGAGAGGGUGAUCGGCCACACUGGAACUGAGACACGGUCCAGACUCCUACGGGAGGCAGCAGUAGGGAAUCUUCCGCAAUGGGCGAAAGCCUGACGGAGCAACGCCGCGUGAGUGAUGAAGGUCUUCGGAUCGUAAAACCCUGUUAUUAGGGAAGAACAUAUGUGUAAGUAACUGUGCACAUCUUGACGGUACCUAAUCAGAAAGCCACGGCUAACUACGUG
rnacentral:rRNA from 1 species